UACAGAGGUGGCAAGCGUUGUUCGGAAUUACUGGGCGUAAAGGGCGCGUAGGCGGCUUGGCCAGUCCCGUGUGAAAUCCCUCGGCUCAACUGAGGAACUGCACGGGAAACUGCCUGGCUUGAGUUCGGGAGAGGGAAGCGGAAUUCCGGGUGUAGCGGUGAAAUGCGUAGAUAUCCGGAGGAACACCGGUGGCGAAGGCGGCUUCCUGGACCGACACUGACGCUGAGGCGCGAAAGCUAGGGGAGCAAACGGG
rnacentral:rRNA from 1 species